AGGGUUCGAUCAUGGCUCAGGAUGAACGCUGGCGGCGUGCUUAACACAUGCAAGUCGAACGAACCUUCGGGUUAGUGGCGGACGGGUGAGUAACGCGUGAGAAUCUGCCCUCAGGAGGGGGAUAACGGUUGGAAACGACCGCUAAUACCCCAUAUGCCGAUAGGUGAAAUGAAUUUCGCCUGAGGAUGAGCUCGCGUCUGAUUAGCUAGUUGGUGAGGUAAUGGCUCACCAAGGCUUCGAUCAGUAGCUGGUCUGAGAGGAUGAUCAGCCACACUGGGACUGAGACACGGCCCAGACUCCUACGGGAGGCAGCAGUGGGGAAUUUUCCGCAAUGGGCGAAAGCCUGACGGAGCAACGCCGCGUGAGGGACGAAGGCCUCUGGGCUGUAAACCUCUUUUCUCAAGGAAGAAGAUAUGACGGUACUUGAGGAAUAAGCCACGGCUAAUUCCGUGCCAGCAGCCGCGGUAAUACGGGAGUGGCAAGCGUUAUCCGGAAUUAUUGGGCGUAAAGCGUCCGCAGGCGGCUUAUCAAGUCUGCUGUUAAAGCGUGGAGCUUAACUCCAUCAUGGCAGUGGAAACUGAUAGGCUUGAGUAUGGUAGGGGCAGAGGGAAUUCCCGGUGUAGCGGUGAAAUGCGUAGAUAUCGGGAAGAACACCAGUGGCGAAGGCGCUCUGCUGGGCCAUUACUGACGCUCAUGGACGAAAGCCAGGGGAGCGAAAGGGAUUAGAUACCCCUGUAGUCCUGGCCGUAAACGAUGAACACUAGGUGUCGGGGGAAUCGACCCCUUCGGUGUCGUAGCUAACGCGUUAAGUGUUCCGCCUGGGGAGUACGCACGCAAGUGUGAAACUCAAAGGAAUUGACGGGGGCCCGCACAAGCGGUGGAGUAUGUGGUUUAAUUCGAUGCAACGCGAAGAACCUUACCAGGGUUUGACAUCCUGCGAACCUCUUAGAAAUUUGAGGGUGCCUUCGGGAAUGCAGUGACAGGUGGUGCAUGGCUGUCGUCAGCUCGUGUCGUGAGAUGUUGGGUUAAGUCCCGCAACGAGCGCAACCCACGUUUUUAGUUGCCAGCAUUUAGUUGGGCACUCUAGAAAGACCGCCGGUGAUAAACCGGAGGAAGGUGUGGAUGACGUCAAGUCAUCAUGCCCCUUACACCCUGGGCUACACACGUACUACAAUGCUACGGACAAAGGGCAGCUAACUCGCGAGAGCAAGCAAAUCCCAUAAACCGUGGCUCAGUUCAGAUCGUAGGCUGCAACUCGCCUACGUGAAGUAGGAAUCGCUAGUAAUCGCAGGUCAGCAUACUGCGGUGAAUACGUUCCCGGGCCUUGUACACACCGCCCGUCACACCAUGGAAGUUGGCCAUGCCCGAAGUCGUUACUCCAACCCUUGUGGAGGAGGACGCCGAAGGUGGGGCUAAUGACUGGGGUGAAGUCGUAACAAGGUAACC
rnacentral:rRNA from 1 species